rnacentral:rRNA from 1 species
AUUGAACGCUGGCGGCAUGCCUUACACAUGCAAGUCGAACGGUAACGGGCCUUCGGGUGCCGACGAGUGGCGAACGGGUGAGUAAUACAUCGGAACGUGCCCGAUCGCGGGGGAUAACGAGGCGAAAGCUUUGCUAAUACCGCAUACGAUCUACGGAUGAAAGCAGGGGACCGCAAGGCCUUGUGCGGACCGAGCGGCCGAAGGCUGAUUAGGUAGUUGGUGGGAUAAAAGCUUACCAAGCCGACGAUCUGUAGCUGGUCUGAGAGGAUCAUCAGCCACACUGAGACUGAGACACGGCCCAGACUCCUACGGGAGGCACCAGUGGGGAAUUUUGGGCAAUGGGCGCAAGCCUGAUCCAACCAUGCCGCGUGCAGGAUGAAGGCCUUCGGAUUGUAAACUGGUUUUGUACGGAACGAAAAGCCUUCUUUUAAUACAGGAGGAUCAUGACGGUACCGUAAGAAUAAGCACCGGCUAACUACGUG